GGGUAGCUGUGAUUGGCUGAGAGUGUCAGCUGACUGCUUUUAACCUGUCAGAGCUCCAACUGACGGUAUGAAUGGGUAUGACAACAAGGAAGUGUGUAAUCUCUGCCUUAGCUACACAUACAGAAGGGGCCGGACUGUGGGUGGCCAGGGACUCUUAUUUUGUGGCAUACUGCACAAACAUGGUGCAACACUGAAUGGAGGGACAGUGCCAGGGCACUCCAGGCACUAUAACCAAUUCAAAGAGACAAAGCGGUUAUAGUGACUACAGUGUCCCUUUAAGGGUUUGUGGUUCCCUGUAUAUGGUUUUGGUUUAUGCAGACAAUUAUUUUUUUAAUUGUCUUUCUAUAGCUCAUUUUUCCUUUAUGUUAAAUGUAUGUGUAACGAAUCACCUGGCACCUCGACUGGGUACCUCCGUUGAAGGAUGCUCCUAGCGCUUCCUGAGAGCUCCAAGCACUCCAGCUGAC